rnacentral:tRNA from 1 species
CGGGGUAUAGAAUAGAGGCCUAAUUCACGGGACUUUGACUCCCGCAUCUCCGGUUCGAAUCCGGAUGCCCCUGCCA